GCCGGGUGUGGUGGCGCAUGCCUGUAAUCCCAGCUACUCAGGAGGCUGAGGCAGGAGAAUCGCUUGAACCUGGGAGGCGGAGGUUGCAGUGAGCUGAGAUCGUGCCACUGCACUCCAGCCUGGGCAACAGAGCGAGACCCUGUCUCAA
rnacentral:SRP_RNA from 1 species